rnacentral:sRNA from 1 species
GCUGGGCAGGGUGGUGCAUGCCUGUAAUCCAGUGACUUGGGAGGCUGAGGCAGGAAGAUUGCAAGUUCAAAGCCAGCCUCGACAACUUAGUGAGGCACUUAGCUACUCAGCAGGAUCCUGUCUCUA